AAGGCCAUAAAUUAAUGUUUUGUUUAUCUUUUUCCUUCUUUCUCAUUGGUCUAUAUCUCAAACACAAGGAUAGCAAUUUUGACCACUGAGUAGUUUUGAUACUGUGGCUAGAAAUCACACAUCUCUGUCUCUUCCUUUCUUCGUUGUCUCAAGAUAUCUCUCUCUCUUUUUUUUUGGUUACAGAUCUAAAUCUAAUCUCAUCUAAAUCUUUUUUAAUCCUUUGGAUCUGUAUCUUCCUUCAUCACCAUCACCACCACACGACCUCCGUUUGUUCGCCGUCCCAGCAUCACAACCACCACCAUACGAGCUCCUUUUGUUCGCUGUCCCAGCAUCACAACCACCACCACACGACCUCCGUUCGUUCGCCGCCCCAGCAUCACUACCACCACCAACCACGGGAUGGAGGAAGCAAGGCAAGGCAGGCAUGGCGGCUGGAGGAGGCAAGCCCAAAAUUUUGAUAAAGAUGAGAGACUGAUGAAGAUGACGGCUUCGGAUUCAAGAGGUGGAAGCCGACGGCGAGCUGGUCAUGAGGCGACGAGAUUAGGUUUAGAUGGAUGCGACGACCAGUGCGGCGGGGUUUAGUUAGUAAUUAGGUUAAAGCCUGGUUUAGUUUUUGGUUUUUGGUUUAGUUUUUGGUUUAUUUGGUUUGUUGGUUUAUUAUUUAAUUAGAUUUAUUUUUGUAUUUUUGUAAACCAAUUUAACUAUAGAUAAAUUUAAGUAAUAAAGAAAAUUUGAUUUUAUGAAUAA